rnacentral:lncRNA from 1 species
AGGAUCUUGUGUUUGUGGCCUCCGCAGCCAGCUUAGGCUGCUCGGUGUCGUGUCGCAGUUAUGUACUGCCAUUUAUUAUGACUCUUAGAAUAUAGUUAUUUCUUACUCUUCCGCUGCCUCCUUUGCUUUUAAAGCCUGUUCUGCCAAGUCUCGCUGGAGAAGGAAACCCCUGAAACUGGUCCUGGUGGUCUCAGACCGCCGCGCGAGCGAAGAGUGGGGAGGACAAAGGUUGGGGAGUUGAGAAGGAUGGAGAUGGGUGCAUCUGGAAGGGAGUCCGUCCUGAGGAGUCCCCCAUCAGCUGUCAGCCAGCCAGCAGCAAAGCAAAUUAAGACUACACAGCUCCGAAGAAGCCAGUUCCCAACCAAGCCAGUGGAGAAAAGUCAGCCCGGUCCCCAGGAGUGCUUGAGGCUCUGUCACUCUUGGACGUCAAAAAGGGUCAUUUGAUGACUGGACGCUUACCUCACCGGUGUGAGGUAAGCUUCAAACGCCGUAUCAUGUUGCUUUAAAACCUGCGGGUAACAGCAUAAGCUGAGUUUUCUAUCUUAGAACUCUUAACCCCAAGAACACUCUUCACAGGCCCUGAUAGGUGGACCCACAAAAAAACCACUCAGGCUAUAUUUGACUCGGAUUUGAAACGCUGCCGAAACGGUAUUAAGUGUCCUCCUCAACUGGAAAAGACAAAUAACAAAUGAUGCCUGAAUGAGAAAAAGACUAGACGUGCACACAGUAAUGUGUGAGCAGGGAAACUUCAGCGAAGGUUUUUAUCAUGCUUUACCCCUUUUACAUGCUUUACCCCAUGUGCAAACAUUUUUCAUGGGUUUUUUUCUAUUUUUUAUUUAUUUUUAUUCUAUUUUUUUAUUUAUACACAAAAAAGUUUCAAUGAUUUUUUAAAGAGUAAUAGUUUUAAUAUGUUACAUUUAAACUUUGACGAUGCAAACAGGUUGUCAAGAGAAGCAACUGAGCAUUGUUUGGUUGUUACAGUUCUGUACACUUGCAAGGAUGAGGGGAAGGGAACUGAAGUUUAGCGUGUCACUGUGGAUCAGGCACUUUCCAAAUGUAGAAGAAAAUGAACAGAAACAUUUCACCUGUUUUGAUGUGGAAAUUUAACCGUUUUGUUUUUCAACCUUUGCUGUUGCAAAGUAUUAAAGUCCUGUGCAGUUUUGCAAAUAUAUCUCACCGCAGAAAGAUCUCCUUUCCUAAGAAGACUGGGAAGAACGGCUUUCCACUUGCCAGUAAUGUGUCCUCUGGUUUCAAUUGAGCCAUCAGUGUCUGUACUCCAGCCUGGGCUACCAAGCGAUACCCCACCUCUGAAAAAAGGGUAGCAAGGGGACAGAGAAGAGCUGUCUGGAUACACGAGAUUCCAAAAACCUAAUCCUGAGAUAAAAUUCCCUAGGGAAUUGCUCUACCGAGAGUAGAGAUUUGACCUGGAAAGAGAAGGGAGAGAAGUAUUUAAUCAUUAACUCUUUUAAUCCUCCCAACAACCUUUUUAGUAUCAUUUUUCAAAUGAGGAAACUGAAAUGUAGAAAGAUUAUGUACACUGUUGAAGGUAACACUAAGCCACUGCCUCCUUCAUAUCAAGAAUAGUUGUUCAUCGAGCAAAUAAAGUGAGGGAAAGACAUUACAAGCAGAGAAAUCAACAUACACACUAUUGUGGCUGGACUUCAGGCUACAGGGUGGUUCCAAAUAUUUAUUGACAAGGCCCUGUGUUACGUGCUGAGGAUACAGAGAUAAAUAAACCAGCUGUCCUAAAGCCGCUGACACUAGUGAGAGAAACCUUAAAAAAAAUACAAUGCAGACUAAAUAAGUGCUGUGAUAGAGGCUAAUGUUCACGGUAUUGGAAAAUGAUAAGAAAACAGCAGCCGGAGAGAAUGUGAGAAAGCCAGUGAAGGUGCUGCUUUAGCAGAGUCCAAAUGUCAAGAGUUAUCCCCUACUAACCCUGAAAUUGUUCUGGGAUAGGGUCUAAAGAAUGAAAUCCAAAGAACAACAGAGAAGAACACCAGAGAAUACUUGGAGAGAGGAAACAAAUUGCUCUAACCAAUGGAGUUUUAAAUGGUCUAGUUUAAAAUAGGUUGAAUUUACCUAGGUGUUAUGAGAACUUAAGAACUUACAUAAGUGGCAUUCAUUGGUAUGGUCAAAGAGGUUAGGUAAGGCUUCUUUGAGGAAGUCACACCAGAAUGGAGAUCCAAAAGAUGAGAAACUGAAAAAGGGAGAGUGGGAAACAGAGGGAAUAUCAUGUGUAAAGCCUUUUUGUCAGAAGGGAACACUGCAAGCCUGAGGGACUGAAAGGAGGCUAUUGUGGCUAGAGCCUAGGUUGCAGGGAGAAAGUGCACCAGUUUGAAGCUGGAGACCAGAUUAAGCAGAGUCUUAUUGGCCAUAUUAAGAACUGUAAUCUUAAGAGAAAAAGGGAGGGGGAGGGCAUUUGACAUGAUUGGAUCUGUGUUUUGAAAAGAUCAUUCCAGCUGCAGUGUGGGAACACAAGCAGAGCCAGCACUGGACUAAUUAAAUCUAUGAGUGGUGUUAGUGUUGGUAGGCAUGCAAGUGGCUUGGGGUAGGAACAAGGAGAUGGACAGAAGUGGGGGAAAUGGAACAAUAGGAAGUAAAGUGGAAGGUCUUGGUGAUGGAUUCAAAUAUCAUGGGGUGGGAUGGGGACUGAGGGAGAGGGAGGAGUCAGAUAACUCAGAAUUUCUAGCAGACCCAGUGGGUGGAUAGUAAUGCCAUCAUUGAGAUAUGGAGGACACUGGAAGAGAGCCAGGUUUGGGGGAAGAGGGUAAUUUCAAUUUGAACACGUUAAGUUUAAGAUAUUUUUGUGACUUCAAGGGAAGAUGUAAACAUUGGAAUCUUUAGGUCUGCAGCACUGGGCUGGAGAAAAAAAUAUAUAUUACCAUUUGCAAUUUUUUGUUUUCUGCAGGGUACUUAUUUUUUCAAAAUACAUAUGUCUUUAUUGUAAAUAAGAUGUUUUGUUUUUAAACAUAUUUAGACGCACUUGAACCCAGGAGCCAGAGGGUUGCAGUGAGCUGAGAUGUCACCAUUGCACUCCAACCUGGGCAACAAGAGCAAAACUCAGUCUCAAAAAAUAAAUAAAAAUAUAUUGAGAACAGAAUUUUAAACUAGAGCAGUUUCCCAGACUUCUCUGAGAGUCACCAGUGUCCCUUAUCAAAAACUCAAAUUCUCAGGCCCAUCCCCUAGAGAUUCUGAUUUCACUUGUCUGGUAUAGGGGGCCUGGAAAUGUGGAUUUUUUGACAAAUGCCACUGGAGAUUCUUCUUAUUGCUGAGUUUCUCUGGGAAGUGGUAUGCCAGUGCCAGAGGCUACCUGCAUAAGAGUCACCACAGUGCUUAUUGAAAUAUAGAUUCUCGGGCCCUGCAGACUAAAUCUAUAGGGAUAGAAGGGUUGUGAGGAAUGGAAAAAGGAACAUGGUACCAUGUCAGGUGGUCCAAGACCUCACCCUUCAUCUUUGACAGAGAUGUUCUGCGCGUCCCACUGGGCAGCCCAGAGGAAAGUGGAUGUCCCUUGCUGGGUGAUGCGUAUUUAGGCAGCAGGCAGCCCUCACAGUCUGCAAUGAUAACAGCUCUUAACCUAGGCCUUCUGCCCUGUCCACUGACAUGGCACUCAGCCCACUUAGAUAGUCUCUUUUUCCACCAUUCUUAUCAAGGCCCAUUGUUCCCUCCUGGCCCCCAAAUCUUUUUCAAUGUUAUUUCCAGCACCCUGUCUUUUUACUCCUGGUUCAGGUGUUUUUCAGCCAAUCUCUGUGGCCAGAGCUGGGAGAGAAAUUGGGUCAAAUGCUAUGUUUCAGUCUUGACAAGGCUUUUUUGUUCUUGAGAACCGACUUUGGAAGUGUUUUUAAAGACUGAGCUGUGUCAGGGAGGAAAAACUUUUCCUCUGCGCUCUCUUGUUUCCUCUUUGGGGGCCUGCAAAUUAAAACAACAAAGAUAGCAAGAGAAAAAAGACAUUUAAUUACAUAUGUACACACACACAGAGAGAGGGAGAAAGAAAGAGAAAUUCACAAAUAACUGACCCUAGGUGGUUAGAAUUUAGAGCUUAUAUACCAUCUUAAUAGGGGACAAAGAAGGGCAGAGAGGCCCUUCUAGGAGAGUAAAUGACUUCUUCAAAGGAAGUGAGGGAGAGACAAAGCAUUUAGAGAAAACAAAACACUUUUUGGAAAGAUAAAUGGACUUUUAGGAGAAUAGAUGGAAGAUACGAUAGUUUUGUAGCAAUGUCUGGGUGUGGUGCAGAUGUCUCCUCAGAGAAGAAAAUAUUAGAAUUGCUCCCCAGGAGGGGAUUUAUUACAAUUGAGGUCUUUUGGGAGGCUUUACUUUUAGGCACAUAAGGGAUUUCAGGAACUCAAGUCCUUCAGCUCAAAAUAACUUUUAUGCCAUGGUAGCUUAUUCUGAACCCCUUCAAUUAUUUGUUCUUGUAGUCUUGCUGUAGCAAUCCCAAGUCUCUUUGAGACACUGUAGAUGCUUUGGAAUAGAGGAAGAAUCAGAACAUAUGAAGAAAAGAAAUGAUUAGAAUGAUUUGUUGGUGAUGGCAAGCAUACAGAAAAGUUUCUAAAACUGAAGUAUACUAUUGAGCACGAUAACACACUCAUGUAACCCCAUAUGGGCCAAAGUAGAACAUUCAACACUCCAAAAGGCCCCAAUGUGCUCCUUCCCUUAUAACCUUCAAGUGCCUAGAGAUGGCCACAUCAUGAUUAUUACCAUAUUUACUUUCUUGUUUUUCUUUCUGGUUUUACUGCCUAAUUACUCAUCCUUAAACAAUAUUAUUUUUGAGCUCUAUGUAAAUGGAAUCACAGAGUUUUUCAUUUACAUGUCUUGAACUUUUUUGAUCAAUCUGUCUUUAAGAUUUACCCAUGUUGAUAUGGCUGUAGUUUAUUCAUUUUCAUUGCUGUAGGUUACUAUAUUGCAUUGGUGUAUCAUAAUUUAUUCUACUGCUGAUGGACAUAUAGGCUAUUUCUAGCUUUAGGCUAUUAUAAGCAAUGCUGCUGUGAAAGUUUGUGUAAACACACACACAUAUGUAUGUUCUCUUUAAGUACAUAUGUGUGUGUGUGUGUGAAUGUAUAUAUAUAUAUAUAUAUAUGUUCUAGAGCAUAUAAACACAGAUUUCUUUGGAGUCUUUACCUUGGUAUGUAAUUCCUGGUUUGUAGAGCAUGUAUAUAUUAAUAUAUUCAGUUUUACAAGAUCGUGCCAAAAUUUUCCAAAAUGAUUGUACCAAUUUAUAUAACCAACAACAAUAUACAAAAGUUUCUGUUGCACUACAUCCUCACCAACACUUGAUAUUGUCAGACAUUUUAAGUUUUAUUACUGUAAUGAAUGUGUAAUGCUGUUUUAUUGUGGCUCUAUUUUGCAUUUCCCUGAUUUUUAAUGAAGAAUAGCCCCUUUUUAUAUGAGUGUUGUCUAAUUGUUUAGGUCUUUCCCCAUUUUUCUGUUGGGUUGUUUGUAUUUUUCUUACUUUUUGUAUUAAUCUGUUAUAUAAUGUUGAAACAAGUUUUAUUGAUUAUAUGUGCUACAAAUGUUUUUCCCACUUUGUGGCUUGUACUUUCACUGUCUUAAUGUCUUUUGAUGAAACCAAGUUGUCAGUGGAGUAGAAUUCAUCACUCUUCCCUUAUGAUUAAUGAUAUCUGUAUCCUAUUUAAGAAAUAUUUUCCAACCCUAAGAUCAUUAAGACUUUUAUAUUGUCUUCUAAAAUUUUAUUGCUUUGCUUUUUAAAUUUUGGUCUAGGCAGACCUGCAAUUAAUGUUCUUACAUAUGGAGAAAGGGAGGCAUAUAUAGAUCCCCAACCCCUUCCAUGUGGAAAAUUAGACUAGCACCAUUUGUUGAAAGAUGGUCCUCUCUGCCCUACCCUGCAGUGCCAUCUUGAUCAUGAACCAAGUAGUCAUAUAAGUAUGGAGUUGUUUCUGACCUUGGUAUUCUUUCCAUUAGUCUAUUAUCUUUUUUUGUAUGUUGCUGGAUUCAAUAUACUCACAUUUUGUUUAAGAUUUCAGGGGAUCUCACAAAUAAGACUGACCUGUAAUUUUCCUUUUGGUAAUGUCUUUCUCUGAAUUUGGUAUCAAAAUAUGCUAGCUACCUUCAUUAAAUGAGUUGGGGAAUACACUUUCUUUUUCCUAUUCAGUUGUCUUUUUUACCCAUUUAUUCUUCUUGUUUUUGGAAUCAAGUUGUCAAGAACCCCCAAAACUCUAUGUGGAUUUUUAUUAAAAUUUCUGUUUGUAUAUUAAUUUCAGGGAAAACAAUAUUCUUCUAUAUGAGCCUUUCCUUUCAGUAAUCUGCAUUUAUUCAAGUGUCCUCAUAUAUGUUUUCCAAAAAUUUUAUCAUUUUCAUUAUAUAGGUCAUGUAUCUUAUAGGAGGCAGAAUUCUAAAGUCCCUCUAAGUUUUCCACCCCUAGUCAGUAAAACACUAAUCUAGGCACUGCUAAGAAUGUACAGAUGUAAUUAAAUUUAUAGAUCUUAAAGUAGGGAAAUUAUUGUAGAUAUCUGGUUGGCCCAGUCUAACCAAUUGAGCCCUCAUAAAAAGAGAAAUUUCUUCAGCUGGAGUCAGUCAGAUGUGGCAAAAAAGAAAAGCUGAGAAAAGAUGAGGCAGAAAGAUCAGAGACAUUCAAAUCAUAAAAAGGCUUGAUGCCACCACGUGGUGGCUCACACCUGUAAUCUCAGCACUUUGGGAGGCUGAGGCGGGC